AACGGAAAGGCCCUGCUUGCAGGGUACUCGAGUGGCGAACGGGUGAGUAACACGUGGGUGAUCUGCCCUGCACUUCGGGAUAAGCCUGGGAAACUGGGUCUAAUACCGGAUAGGAGCCAUUUUUAGUGUGAUGGUUGGAAAGUUUUUUCGGUGUAGGAUGAGCUCGCGGCCUAUCAGCUUGUUGGUGGGGUAAUGGCCUACCAAGGCGGCGACGGGUAGCCGGCCUGAGAGGGUGGACGGCCACAUUGGGACUGAGAUACGGCCCAGACUCCUACGGGAGGCAGCAGUGGGGAAUAUUGCACAAUGGGCGCAAGCCUGAUGCAGCGACGCCGCGUGGGGGAUGACGGCCUUCGGGUUGUAAACUCCUUUCGCUAGGGACGAGGCUUUUUGUGACGGUACCUAGAUAAGAAGCACCGGCUAACUACGUGCCAGCAGCCGCGGUAAUACGUAGGGUGCGAGCGUUGUCCGGAAUUACUGGGCGUAAAGGGCUCGUAGGUGGUUUGUCGCGUCGUCUGUGAAAUUCCGGGGCUUAACUCCGGGCGUGCAGGCGAUACGGGCAUAACUUGAGUACUGUAGGGGUAACUGGAAUUCCUGGUGUAGCGGUGAAAUGCGCAGAUAUCAGGAGGAACACCGAUGGCGAAGGCAGGUUACUGGGCAGUU
rnacentral:rRNA from 1 species